rnacentral:misc_RNA from 1 species
CCAUCCCAAACCUGCACCGUCUUUGUACACGCCAUAGACAAGAAUAGACACACACACACACACAUACAUAGAUCGCUCGUUACAUUUCGCCUCUCCCUACUUCCCUGCCUUCCUGCCUGUCUGCCUCUGUGUCGAUGUGUGGUGGUGGUGGUGGCCAUUCAUGGGUAUUCCGUCCUCCUCCUCUCCGUUCUUGUUCGCUUCACGGAUAAGAUACAUGCGGACAGGGAGAGAAAGGCGCGCACACACACACACACGCACUUUCUUUGCUUCCUCUUUCGCUGCUCGUCUCUUUUCUUUUUCCCGCCGGCCACGAGUGAAGCCGCAGAGUCGUUGCUGCCGCUCGAGGCAACACCAACACAACAGCAACGAGGGUUACAUGCGCACAGAUACAUUACGUUGCAUGCAGAAACGGAGCCGCUUUAUCAGACUGAGUUACUACUGGGCACAUCCGACGCGUUGCGCGCUCUCUAUUCCUCUGUCUCUCUCGAACUCGUGAGUGAAGUUCAUCAUGGACGGUGAAAGUGGAAAGGCUAGAGUGCACGGGUCACGCGCAAUGCCCAACACACAGCAGGCGCGGACGCCUACAAGGAACGUACGUGGGGAUGCACCGGUGCGCCAUUGGUUGCUGGUCGGCCACCGCAACGUCUUUGCGGACAACGCCUUGCCACCAUCGCGCGCCCAGGCAGCACAGCCCAAGUCACCGAGCAGCAGCGUCAGCAAGAGCAAGAAGAAGCAGUGCGGGCGGUCGGUCAAGAAGGCUACCGUCGAGUCAGCAGCACCGUUCGCCUCGAGCCGCGUUUUCAGUGCUGGCCGAUACAAGGACGCGAAUGAGGGGGAGGGCAACGUCUCCGACAUAGGCACCGCCUACCUCAUAUCCACCCCGGGGCGACCGUCGCAGAGUCCUGACGAGGAUGGGAGAUCUGCACCGUGUGCACCAGCGGUCGUGGCGGCGCUCCAGAAGACGGAGGCAUGCACGCCCACUCGGAAGGAGCCUCGAGGGCAACAGCACUCCGCAGAGUCGUCUGUAGUACGGCCCACUUCGCCUCUGGAGCACGCUGAGGAUGGCGUCUGCGCAGUGCAGACGCGCGACUCGUCGCACGUGCCAGCACCAGAGCGAGCCGCGUUACUGUCGGGUUCCUUACUUCUCUCUUCAGCUCCAUCAGAUGAGCACGCCGGUGAUAUGGCUCCGAGCGUCGGUGUGAUACGUUAUGCCACAACGACUCCUGCAGCUUCUGCAAAGAACGCCUUUGGGCAACAGCCGGGCGCCGGCACCGCUGUGAACAUAAACGAUGCCGGCACCGCCUGUUCUCUCGCAUGCGUUCCCGAAACACCACACCUGCCAAUGCAGGUGCGCUUCUUCCGCUCCUCGAAGCCGCGGUGGCAGGGCGCGAGGACGCCCAACGAGACAGUCAUUGAAGCCGGCAACGAUGGGAACGGCACUGACACACAUGGGGAACGAAAGAACUUCAUUCAGUCGCAUGCGCGGGACCGGGUACCCCACGAAGAGACGGGGUCAUGUGUCACCCCACCGCGCACACUGCACGCCGUGAGUACGAUCGCCACGCUCCAAGAAAAGGGCGAGGAGGGCAGCGGCUUUGGUGGCAAGGAUGGCGCCGUCGCCGACGCAUGUGGGUGUCUCAAUGCGCCAACGACGGCGGUGGUGGUCCGCGAGCAAGGUCAGGUGAACGCAUCGCUCGAGCACUCGCCACCGCCUGCGGUGCUGCCCGUUCUCCCUCGAGCAAGCGCUGUCCUCAACGCGACGGAGGAGCUCUCUAAUGCGGCAGCGACAACAUCGUUUAGGAGCAGCGGCGGCAGCCCCAUCCCACCACCGAUCCCGCCGUAUCCGAAUAACCGUAAGGAGAGCACUGCGAACGCAACGCCAUUGCGCCACUCGGAUACAGCCGACCCAGCUCUCUGGCAGAGAGGGGGGCCAGGUGAUGGUGAUGAAGGUUGUAUGUGCGUCGCGGGGCCUCACACGCCGGACGUGGUGCGAGAAGCACUACCGCGUCGGCUGCAGAGCGCCUCUCCGUCGUUGCAGGAGAGCGUCAACGCCAUCAGUAGCUUCUUCUCCCCAGCCGGCCGGCCUGACUCUCGCAAGCGCGUAUCGCCGUCGAGUGGGCGGGGCCCCAGUAGCAGCUACGGCUUCUCGGAUGGCGGCAGCACACUGGAGAGCCAUCAAACCCGCCGCUUGACGCCCUACUGCGACACUGAUGAAGAGGAUAACAGCCGUGGCAUCUCUGCCUCACGGAAUAUGACAAGGCCGCUCGAAGAGAGUACGCAGGAGGCAGAGCAGCUGCACCACCGUCUGCCCGCCGAGGAUGUCGUGGCUGCCGCAGGGCCUCCAGGCGCGUGCUUGAGCAGCACCGACUCUGCUGUGAAGCCGAGUGCGACUCUGCUGCGGUGCAACGAUGACCUUGCAACGCUCUCAUCGCAUGUGCAGGCGGAAGAGCCGGUUUGCCCACGGGAAGUCGGCUGGCGCUCGACUCUGCAGCUCAGCCAUGCCCUGCUGGCGGAGUACCAGCGCAGCGUCUUGACUGCCUUCAUGACGGCCUGCAAGGAGGCGUGGCUGCCGUCGAUGGCGGUGUGUAGACUGGGUUAUGUGUGCACACACGCUUACGCAUCGCCACGGGUGGCGGAGCAAGCACCAGCGACGGGCAUCACCGUGCCGGAGGUCCACCUCCUCUUUCAACUCUACUGCACCAGCCCAUCAGAGAGUGCUGCCGAUCGACUCGUUGAAUGCUUCUUUGCCACGCAGCUGGUGUGCUACGUGAACUGGGUGCACCAUCUCCAGUUUGAGUAUCUGUACGUGCGCAUGGUGGCACUGCGGGCCGUGUCCAUGAUGGAGCUGCACGAGCGCCGGCUCAUCUGCAUGCGGCGCGACUUGGCCAUCCGGGACGCCAUUGAGCUGUUCAUGCUGCUCGCCCCUCGCCCGCGUGCCCCGAUGGUGUCUACGGGACGCCGUGUCUUCUCGGCGUUCCGCAUGGCCUUGCACGCGCUCAGCGGUGGUGGUGGCGGCAGCAACGCAGGUGCCGCCGCGGCCUCGGCAAAGCGCAGAGGGAGUUGCAGCGCGCGCACGCAGCACAAGCCAUCAUCUCCGGCGACCCCGCGCUGUGCCACUGGCUGCCAACUCACAGCAGACGAGGAACGGCGACAGCAUCGUCCGACGCGUGUCGAGCCGCUCUUCGCCUCGGAAGCCUGGAACGCGGCUCGUGCCACGUGCGACAUCAGCGCAGUAACGUCUCCCACGAACCACGGGGCAGGUGACAGCGACGUGGAUGCGCAGAAUGUGGUGCGCAAGGUCGCAAGCGCCACGAACCCGCCACCUGAGAUGCCCGAGUGCCAUCGUGGGGCGCCGCAUCUGCUGUGCAAAACGUACUCGAACGACUGCGGGCCGGUGGCGGAGAGAAGUAGCAGCGGUGGCGUCUCUUCGGUGUUGCCUGUCUUGUGGCUGCCAAGGCUGAUAAGAAGCACGCCGCGUACCGCGUCCGUGGCCCACAAGACACGUAAGGAGACGGGCAUGGUGGCUGCUAAGACGGACUGCAGCGAAGUGGAGGGACAGGGUAAGGAUGGCUUCUCCCGUCGCAGCGCCAGCAGCGUACUAUCCUCAAGGUCACCGAAUCACCGCGAGCUUGGCAGGCGGAGCAGUAGGGACGCCGCGCUGCCGCAUGGCGGCCUACGCGCAAGGGAGACGGUGCAGCCAAAGAAGCGCAGCCGCACACCACCGCCGCUGCCAACGGACGCCGACUUUUUGAACUUACGCGACGCAGAAGUUCUGAAACGCUUCAUAAAGUAGCAGCGUGCGUAGAUGUUAGAGAGGCCCUCCGCACAGCGCACGUGCCUCAGUGCAUGCGUGUGUGGAUGGAUGAAUGUCUUGCACCCAUCCUCUGGACGUGCAAGGGAGGAACGCGGUGCAAAGCCACAAUACAUCAGAGCCCCACCACCACCCAGCCCACCCUCUUCCUUCGUUUCUAUUGGUUUCGUGUGUGGUGUUCUUCAGUGUGUGUUUGCAUCCCGGUAAGGCUGCGGGGAACGCACGCGUAUUCCACCGUGGGAGGGCGGGCAAGCGUGACGAGAGCCGUACUGUAGAGGUGGACGAGGGGAGCAAUGUAAAGGAUGGAAGCUGCGCGAGCAGGGGACGGUCGAGCGGCUCUCCGUCUGCCGCCACUGCACCAACCCUACAAGACCGCUCAUACCCCUCUUCCCAAACCCACAGCGGGUGCUUCAAUCACUGCUAACGCCCUCGUAUGUGUUUUCUGUUUAUGUUUUACGGUCUUUGAUGUCGAGCGCACCCACUCCUCGCCCCGGUCCUCUGCCUCCCCUCACUCCACCCCACCCUCCGGUUUGGCACCCUCUGUCGUCCGGCUCGCUAUCAUAUUCGAGGAGAAGAACCGAGGAAGAUAGUCUCAGGGAUGUGGGAGGGCCGCGCUGUCCCCGACCAGGCUCACGAAGGCGAAGACCCGUCGCCAUGGCACAUAGGCGUAUAUAUAUAUAUAUAUAUAUGUGUGUGUAUAAAUAUGUAUAAAUAUGCAAGGGCAUGGCACUUAGUACGCGUAUGCCGGAGUGUAGUGGUGGGGAGGGAAGGAGGGGUGGUGCCGUGGCCGCUCCUCUUUCUCUGUGUCGAUGGACUAACACAG